rnacentral:rRNA from 1 species
AUUGAACGCUGGCGGCAUGCCUUACACAUGCAAGUCGAACGGCAGCACGGGUGCUUGCUCCUGGUGGCGAGUGGCGAACGGGUGAGUAAUACAUCGGAACAUGUCCUGUGGUGGGGGAUAGCCCUGCGAAAGCUGGAUUAAUACCGCAUACGAUCUACGGAUGACAGCGGGGGACCUUCGGGCCUCGCGCUAUAGGGUUGGCCGAUGGCUGAUUAGCUAGUUGUUGGGGUAAAGGCCUAUCAAGGCGACGAGCAGUAGCUGGUCUGAGAGGACGAGCAGCCACACUGGGACUGAGACACGGCCCAGACUCCUAAGGGAGGCAGCAGUGGGGAAUUUUGGACAAUGGGCGAAAGCAUGAUCCAGCAAUGCCGCGUGUGUGAAGAAGGCCUUCGGGUUGUAAAGCACUUUUGUCCGGAAAGAAAUCCUUGGCCCUAAUACGGUCGGGGGAUGACGGUAACGGAAGAAUAAGCACCGGCUAACUACGUG